rnacentral:rRNA from 1 species
AACGAACGCUGGCGGCAUGCCUAACACAUGCAAGUCGAACGAGACCAAGGCUUCGGCCUGAAGUCUAGUGGCGCACGGGUGCGUAACGCGUGGGAAUCUACCCUUGGGUUCGGAAUAACAGUUAGAAAUGACUGCUAAUACCGGAUGAUGACGUAAGUCCAAAGAUUUAUCGCCCAGGGAUGAGCCCGCGUAAGAUUAGCUUGUUGGUGAGGUAAAGGCUCACCAAGGCGACGAUCUUUAGCUGGUCUGAGAGGAUGAUCAGCCACACUGGGACUGAGACACGGCCCAGACUCCUACGGGAGGCAGCAGUGGGGAAUAUUGGACAAUGGGCGAAAGCCUGAUCCAGCAAUGCCGCGUGAGUGAUGAAGGCCUUAGGGUUGUAAAGCUCUUUUACCCGGGAUGAUAAUGACAGUACCGGGAGAAUAAGCUCCGGCUAACUCCGUGCCAGCAGCCGCCGUAAC